rfam:Ovis aries breed Texel chromosome 15, whole genome shotgun sequence.
UCCUUGAUGGUCUAGUGGCUGAGACUCCUUGCUUGCAAUGCAGGGAGCCCAGGUUCGAUUCCUGGUGAGGGAA